GGGGACGUAGCCAAGCACGUUCUUAGUUAGAAGUCUGCUUCUCUGAGAGCCAAACUAUCGACCUGUUUCCUAUCAUCCUGGGCUCCCUGCUGGGCUUCCUGAUAUUGCUGGCUGUUAACAUCAUCGUUUUGUUUUACGUAAAACGUUGGUCAGCUUUCUCAAGCAGAUCGACGUGGAAUCGGGGGAUGGAUGAGAAUACAGCACCAGUCCGAGUUAAGAGAAUAACUACAUGUCUAUUCUAAGAGCUGCCAUCACUUCCUGUGAGCCUAACGAUACAGUGAACUCUCGGGAUAAGGUGAUGAACUUGUCCGUGUGGUUUGAUGCAGCGUGUUGACCCGCUCCUGGAUGGAAAGCUUAGUGAUGACAUCAGCAUUUACUGGAAACCCAUCUGUCCACUCUGAGGUCAUUUCCUUUCAGAUCUGUUUCCCUGAAAACCUGACCUUGAUUCCUUUCCAGCUGCCUCUGCUCUCUGAGGGCUUGGGUUUCUCUCUGAUUGCACUGACUCUCCCUCCUUUCCCAGUGACAACACCCCCUCUGAGCCCCUUCCCAUUGGACUAGACUGUUCUCACUUGGUUCCAGCCUUGACAACAUUUGCACAUAACAUCACUGUGUUGCAAUUACACACACCUAAACCCCUGACACACGCCCUCCGACCACGUGAGGCUCCUGUCAGGAUUUACACUCCCCCUCUGAGAGUCCUAGAGAUGUACAACAUGGAAACAGACCCUUCAGUCCAACUCGCCCAUACCAACCAGAUAUCCCUA